AAUACGUUCCCGGACCUUGCACACACCGCCCGUCAAGCCAUGGAAGCCGGGUGUACCUAAAGUCGGUAACCGCAAGGAGCUGCCUAGGGUAAAAUCGGUGACUGGGGCUAAGUCGUAACAAGGUACCC
rnacentral:rRNA from 1 species